AAGACCCUUCUCUGGAUGGAGCUAGAUGCAGCAGAAAGGGAAGUCAGGGAGAGUCUAGUCCUGGGAGGGAUUCAGUGUGCCUUUGCUGGUUCUGCGAUGGAGGAGCCACGCGCACGGGUUCCAGGGAGGACUCUAGGAGCUCAGGGUGCCCCCAGCUGACAGCCAGCAAGGAAGAGGGGACCUCACUUCCACAACCACAAGGAACUGAAUUUGGCCAGCAAUCUGAGUGAGCUGAGAAGCAGAUUCUGCCUCAGGGCCCCCAGUAAGGAACGCAGCCCUGCUGACAGCUUGCUUCCCGCCCUGCCCCCACCCCGUAGCCUCUAGAAAGGGGACCCAGUGGAGCCACGCUGCACCCCGACUGCUGCGCUACGGAACUGUGGAAUUAGGAGGGGUGUGGUUUUAAACUACGGCAUCUGCGGCGGUUUGUUCUGGCAGCAAUAAAAGAUGAAUACAGGGCUUUGUCGCGGUCAGAGCCUUUGGGAAGAUUUGCCAUUUCCUCUUCUAUCCAAGAUUCUCAGCGGAAAGCGCCUCUCUGAAGCUCGCCCUGGUCUGCGUGGCUAAUGAGGAAACCUAUGAGCCGAGAGCAGGGGUUUUCGUCUCUGCUCACAGAGGCUUUCUUCCUGCUUGGGCGCUUCCUCAGAACAGCAUGUUUGGAGUUCCGCAGUCUUCCUGGUGAGCCAGAUCCUGGCCGUUCCAUCCCCCUGCCAGGGAGCUUGCCCAGCCAGCCUCCAAGGAAGGUGUCAUAAAAAUGCAAACACUCAUGUCAUGAACCCACCACCUCCAGCGGCAAAGUGGAGCCAGGCUUGUUUUGCAGCAAAAGCAAAGCAUCAAGUCAGACGUUUCUAAGAUGGAUGUGUCAAGCAGGUGAGUCACCUCUCUGAAGACUGCCUCCUGUUCAGCAACUGAAAUUGUCUUCUACAGAAAUAGAGCUGGAACAAAGGGCUCUGGUGGUUUUGUCCUGGAUUCCCUGUGAAUGGUUGGCUUCCAUGGGUGGAGCCCAGAGCUAAUGGUGCCAGUGGCAGGGAUGAGCUCUGCCGGCAGGCUAGUGUGGUCCAUGGAGAGACUCCAUCUGAUUCAAAACGCCUUAACCGAGCGCCUGUGUCAGGCCCUGUGCUAGGGGCUGGGGACCAACAGGAAGAGUCAGACCCUGCCCACAGAAUUCACAACAGAGUGCGGAGAUGAGCCAGAAAGCAAGAAAGCAUGAACUGAUGGAAAAUCCUCCCUGUGCAGAGGCAGGAGAUGCUCAUCUGUCUGCCUAUGCCCAGGAGGCUUCACAGGAGAGAUGGCUUUUGAGCCUGACUUUGAUGGAGAGGCAGAGAUCAAUGCUAAUCGAUGACCUACACUUGGUGCUAUAUGCUGUAAUUUCACGUUGGUGGAAUUCUCAUAGGCAGAGCUCCUGUAGGCUUAGGCACAAAAAGGCAUAAAGAAGUAAAAGUUUCCUGUGAGUAGGCGUCUCAUUGAUCACUAGAGUGUUAUGGCUUCCGGGUCCCACAUCGGACAGGGAACAGCUCCUGAAACAUCCCUGCAUUUCUGUCUGCAUUUGCGUCUGCAUCCGUCCAUCCACACUGAAAUCUAUGAGUUCACUCCAGUCUUCUAAUCCCAAACAGAGUCUCCGGGUUCAGUCUAGUUUUCCUCCUUUCUGUAUUUGCCACUCCCUUGUUCAGUGGCCUGUUUUCGUCUGUUUAGGUUGCUGUAACAAAAAUACCAGCGUGGUAUUUAAGCCACUCUGGGUGGCUUAUGAACAACAGACAUUUAUUUCCCACGGUUCUGGAGGCUGGACGUCCAGGCUCAAGGUGCUGCACAUUCAGUGCCUGGUGAGAGCCCGCUGCCUGGUUCACAGAUGGUGUCAUCCCUCUGUGUCCUCACGUGGCAGAAGGGAGUGGGGCGCUCUGCGGGGCCUCUUGUAUAAGAGUACCAAAUCCCUGCAUGAGGCCUCCGCCCUGGUGACCUAAUCACCCCAAAGGCCCCACCUCCCAAUGACAUCACACUGGGGAUUAGGCUUCAACAUCUGCAUCUUGGGGUGGGUGGGGGACAUAGACAUUCAGCCUACAGCAUAGCCCCGUGUGAACUGCAAGGCUGGAGAAUAAGGUAUAUUUAGAGAGAGGACAGAUGUGAACAGUGGUUCCUGUCCUACUGAGGUGCCCGCUGUGAUAGAUGGAGCAUCCCUCUCCAGUCUGCCUUUUACUUGGAAUCUGAAAGUCACAGGGAAUGAUCUCUAGAAGAUACCCAGUACACGUUUCCCCACCGUCAACGCUGGUAAAGAGGAAACAUGUUAUUUACGCAGGAGCAAUAACAUUUGAUAUAAUAUUAUCAAUUAUGGGAGCGGAAUUCAUUGCUAGAGGACCCUGGUAUCCUUUUUCAAUGACUGAACUAGUCAAGAAGCCUUUGGUGGCGAAUAGCUGGAAACCCAGCACGACUAGCUUAACUACCAGGAACUUUAAUGACGCCUGUAGCUGGAAGUUCAGAGGGAGGCUGGCUUCCUGGCUGACUUAAUCCAGGGUCUCUGGACCACUUUCCUGGGAUCCUCCGGGCUCUGCUUCCUCUCAGGCUUGUGGUGAGGUGAUCACACUGCUCUCACUGUCUCACCUCAUGCCCGAUGUUAUCCGGAAGAGAAAGAAAAGUGUUUUCCAAAAUCUCUCCAGGAGAGGAAAGGACUUUACUAAAAGUUUCCUGAGACCCUCUCCUUGUAUCUGAAGAAUUUUUCACUUUUUUUCCUUUUGUUUUUUUGUUUUGUUUUGUUUUGAAACAAUCUUAGAUUUACAGAAGAGCUGCAUAAACAGUAUAAAAUCUUUUUUCUUUGAACUACUUGAGAGUAAUUCACCAACCUGAAAUUCCACAAAUAUUUAUAGCUGCUUUAUUUGUAUUUCCAAAAACUGGAAACAACCUAGAUGUUUUUCAGUGGAUGAAUGGUUAAACAGACUGUGGAAUCUCCACACCAUGGAAUUCUACUCAGCACUGAAAAGGAGCAAAGUAUCGCUACAUCCUGGUCAGGCUACGCUGUCCUUUGGCUCCAGCACCAAGGAGCUGUGCUUCCCAUCAUGGGAAGAUGAUGCAAGAGACCUGCCUUCAGUCUGACGUGGUUGCUGGGAUGAGAGCUGUUUUUUUCAGUGACGGGAAUGUGUUUGUGCUGCUCUUUAGUGGACACUGUUAUUGCUAACUUAGCCUCCAUUCUCCCUUCUUCCUUCCCAAGAAAAUCAAAGUGGGCUGGGACCAAGGCAGUAAGUAGCAGAGGGGAUAGAAAGUGGAGGGUGGGUACAAAAGGGAGAACAGGGGUCAAGUCUGGUCUUGUUGGAAGGGGGAGGUUUGCGUGUCAGAGGAGCAAGGAAGCUGGGGGUUUGGGGAGGCGAGGUGAAGAGUGGGCCCUGGGGAAACUCCGGGUUUCUCUUGGCGUGCGGGAUGAUGCUCAAGAGGGAGACGUGGCAGGAGAAGCAGACUUGUAGGGCAGGGUGAUUUAAUUUUGGACUUUCUGUGCUUGAGGUGUUGGUGGGACAACCAAGUAGAGACAGCCAGCAGGCAGUUGGAAAUAAACAGCUGGGCUCUGGAGAACGUCUGGACUAAAGAUAUGGAUGUCUACUAGUCAUUGGUCACGGUUGACAGAGGAUGAGAUGGCCAGGUCAUGAAGGAAAGCCCUGCGUCUUAUAUGAGAGAAUUGAGGCUCAGAGAAGCCCCCCGACCUGCCCGAGGUCUCAUAGGUCACAGUGGCACAGACCAGGCUCCAACCCAGGUUACCUGGCUCCAGAGCCCAUGCUCUCACCCACUGCACUAUGCUACACGGCCACUUUAUACUGGGCGUUGCUUUCUGUGUGAUUAUCAGGAAGUUUAUAGGACUUACUCUGUCCUGCGGCCCUGGGGCUGUUUGCAUAGAGGUUACGUCCUGCCCUUCUAGGUAAAACUAAGGCAGCUGUGAGCUGAGGAAGACCCUCUGGAUUGAUAAGUAAAGGCAUCAUGUCAUCUGCGCUUCUGACAUCUCCAUGGAUGCAGGACGCUGAGAUGACAACAGGAGACCUGCGUGGAGGACCACUGGGCUCACCAGCACUGCUUGUCCUCUUUCAGUUAAUUUCCAUUCACCUUUUCAAUUUCUUCCCUCAAUGACUUUUGGAUUUUUGUUUUACCAAGAUCCAGAUAAUAUUGUAAAUUUACAACUUCUGCAAUAAAUCUCCUCCAAAAAAAUCACAUACCAGUAAUAGAGAACACACACAAAAGAAAACAUUAACUGAUCACAGACACAUUUGAAAACCAGACAAAAUUUCUGUGGUCUAAAAGCAUAACAGAAACACAACUAAGUGGACAUACUGAAGUCAUGGUUCUUCGGGGCUUAGGUUCUGAAGCAGGUACAACGGGUGGGAGUUUGUAUUCUGCAAAGUCAUGGGCAGUAACACAGCUCACACAGGACAAGCGAUCUGGGCCAGGCCCAUUUCAUGAAACUAGGUGCUGGGAUGGGUCUCCCUGCAGUGAUGGGGGCUGAAGAGCUUACUCCUGAUUGCUUAUUCUGUCAGGGGGCCUGGCUUAUACAAAUACCAGAGAGGUGGCAGGAGGCAGACCCAGCCUUGUAAGCAGGAUCUGGGACAGGCUGCCUGCUGCCUCGAUGGCUGCAUCUGAGAUAUUCACUGUAACAUGGACGUACUGAGCCACUGAGAAUAUAUGUCUCAAGAUUGGGAGCCCUGAGAGAGAGGCAUGUAGAGGUGACCACCAAACUGCUAGGCAGGGAACAGCAGAUGGUGAAAGGGGAGAGCGAGAGAGAAGAGAGGCUUCCACUCGAGCCUACAACUGAAAUUCCCUAAAAUUCCUAAACAUAUCAAAAAUGAA